rnacentral:rRNA from 1 species
AAUAGAUACCCCGGUAGUCCACGCCGUAAACGAUGAGUGCUAAGUGUUAGGGGGUUUCCGCCCCUUAGUGCUGCAGCUAACGCAUUAAGCACUCCGCCUGGGGAGUACGGUCGCAAGACUGAAACUCAAAGGAAUUGACGGGGGCCCGCACAAGCGGUGGAGCAUGUGGUUUAAUUCGAAGCAACGCGAAGAACCUUACCAGGUCUUGACAUCCCGCUGACCGCUAUGGAGACAUAGCCUUCCCUUCGGGGACAGCGGUGACAGGUGGUGCAUGGUUGUCGUCAGCUCGUGUCGUGAGAUGUUGGGUUAAGUCCCGCAACGAGCGCAACCCUUGAGAUUAGUUGCCAUCAUUCAGUUGGGCACUCUAAUCUGACUGCCGGUGAUAAACCGGAGGAAGGUGGGGAUGACGUCAAAUCAUCAUGCCCCUUAUGACCUGGGCUACACACGUGCUACAAUGGACGGUACAAACGGUUGCCAACCCGCGAGGGGGAGCCAAUCCGAUAAAACCGUUCUCAGUUCGGAUUGUAGG